GUCCUCGGUGGCUCAGGUGGAAAGAGCGUCUGCCAUGUAAGCAGGCGGUCUCGGGUUCGAUUCCCGGGCGGGACA